rnacentral:SRP_RNA from 1 species
GCCGGGCGUGGGGGCGCGCACCUGUAAUCCCAGCUACUCAGGAGGCUGAGGCAGGAGAAUCGCUUGAACCCAGGAGGCAUAGGUUGCAGUGAGCCGAGAUUGUACCACUGCACUCCAGCCUGGGCGACAGAGCAAGACUCUGUCUCAA